rnacentral:lncRNA from 1 species
GGUCUGGCACUUGCCCAGAUUAUUUUGUUUCAGAAGUUUGAGAUCCUUCUGUUGUUAAGACUUCUACUUGGAAUGGGUUUUAAUCAGUUCUAAGUUUAAAAGGCCUCUCAGCUAGUAUUGGGAUAUGUGACACAGAAAAUCUCUGCUGCCGCAUAUGUUGGUCCCCUACUUUAUGCAGGGAAAUGGGAAUAUUUAGAUCAAUUUAAUGCAGUUUUGUUUGACUGACUUUAAGGGAGUGGGCAUGGCAGUACACACCUAUAUUCUCACUGAAAGUGCUCAUUGACCAUCCAAAAACUUUGGAUUUUAGAUAACAAAAGUUGUCUUAUCCUCAGAAUUGACUGUAUCUCGGGUCUUCUUUUUCUACAUCACAAAAUAAACCUAGGUUGGUCUUUAUAAAGACAAUGACAGAUUCUGCAGUGAAAUAUUGGCUCUCAUAAAGGCACCUCAGCCCUAUAUGGUACUUAGAUGAAUCUGACCUAGACAAUUAUCUUACUCUUCAUUUGGAAUUGGACUUUGUGCUAAACAAGAGGGGCAGGGAACAGUAGAUAAAAACAAGCUCUCUGGCUAUGUUUUACACGCAGCUAAAUUUUUCCACUGGAAAGAACAUUA